rnacentral:rRNA from 1 species
GAUCGUAGUGUUUAGGGAGAAACCCCCCUGGGUUAGGCCGCCCAAGUCUUGGGGGGCAGCAGGGGGAUUUUCGCAAUGGGGAAGCCUACGAGCAAGGCGCGUGGGGAGGAAGGCUUUGGUUGUAACCCUUUUGUUAGGAAGAAAAAAUGACGGUUCUAACGAAUCAGCUUGGGUAAGUGAGUGCCAGCAGCCGCGGUUGUGCGGAGGAGGCAAGCGUUCUCCGGAAUUAUUGGGCGUAAAGCGUCCGUAGGUGGCCCGGCAAGUCUGCUGUCAAAGACCGCAGCUCAACUGUGGAAAGGCAGUGGAAACUGCAAGGCUAGAGUGCGGUAGGGGUAGAGGGAAUUCCCAGUGUAGCGGUGAAAUGCGUAGAGAUUGGGAAGAACACCGGUGGCGAAAGCGCUCUACUGGGCCGCAACUGACAGUGAUGGACGAAAGCUAGGGGAGCGAAUGGGAUUAGAUACCCCAGUAGUCCUAGCUGUAAACGAUGGAAACUAGGUGUAGCACGUAUCGAUCCGUGCUGUAUCGGAGCUAACGCGUUAAGUUUCCCGCCUGGGGAGUACGCACGCAAGUGUGAAAGUCAAAGGAAUUGACGGGGGCCCGCACAAGCGGUGGAGUAUGUGGUUUAAUUCGAUGCAACGCGAAGAACCUUACCAGGGCUUGACAUGUCCGGAACCUCUGUGAAAGCAGAGGGUGCCUUCGGGAGCCGGAACACAGGUGGUGCAUGGCUGUCGUCAGCUCGUGUCGUGAGAUGUUGGGUUAAGUCCCGCAACGAGCGCAACCCUCGUCCUUAGUUGCCAGCAUUUUGGAUGGGCACUCUAGGGAGACUGCCGGUGACAAACCGGAGGAAGGUGGGGAGUACGUCAAGUCAGCAUGCCCCUUACGUCCUGGGCGACACACGUACUACAAUGCUGUGGACAAAGAGCAGGCAACCCGCGAGGGCGAGCUAUUCUCAUAAAACACGGCUCAGUUCAGAUCGCAGACUGCAACUCGCCUGCGUGAA